AUGAAGAUGUGGAAGCACUUUGUUCACUGGAUCAGCAUGACCGACCCGAAGUCAAUUCAGACGGGUCAGGUUGAGGAAUUCAAGGAACAGGUUCACAGGCUCGAUGGGGUGAUUGGGGAAGCCCUGGAAAGGGAUCUCAGCCAUCAUAAAGAAAUGGAGAAGAUGCUCAUGGCCUCUAGUGAACACCUGAAGAUGGCCAUUCACGACACGCAACAGAACAGCCUGGCGCUGUGUGAAGAGCUGAGGCAAGAGAGGGACAGGCAAUAUGCCAUGGAGGUCUCUGAGUGUGACACAAGAGAACGACUGAGAGGAGAAAAAGCUCUCGAACACAAGCGAUGCACGGAGCUGGAAGCACAGCUGCACAUGGAGAGGCGGACUAGAGAAGAGGCAGAAAGGCGCUUGUGCGACGUGACAGAGGCCUGUAGGCAGAUGGAGGCUGAGAGAGAGCGCCAUUGGAACCUGGAGACCGAGCAGAUAGUUUAUGAGGAGAUGUUGCAGAGGGAGGUGGAGCAACAAGACCAGCUCAGGACGGAGGCCAUGGACGAGCACCGGAGGAGAGAGAAGGCCGAAACGGAGCUCCAAGCAAAACGGGAAAUCAGGAUGGAGGCAGAGAGGCUUCUCCUGGAGAAAGAGACAGAGCUCCACGAUCAGCAGAAGAGAAAAGAACGUUUCGACCAAGAGAUCCAGCAAAUAAAAGAGGAACUUGAAAUGGCGAGAGCCGAAAGAGACCGUGCGCGCAGAGGACGAGAAGAACUAGAACAAGUGCUCCUCAAGGAAACGGCGAGCAGAAAGGAACUGGAGAAACACUUCCAGGACAUGAACAAUGCGAUCGAGGAAACCCUGAAGAUCCUCCUCAAGAGGGAGAAGGAGCUCUGUGGGCAAGUUGAGGAGACGGCAGGAUUGAAAGUGCAACUAAAGCGCCUUCUAGAAACUUCCCAACGAGACGUGGAGAAAAGAAACCAGUACAAGACCAUAAGCGGGCAGGUUUAUCCAGGAGGCUGGAGAACAGGAGCGUAUGCUGACGUCGUAAGGCACAACAUCGCAGCGGGU
ensembl:lncRNA trichohyalin-like